GUGGGGAAUAUUGGACAAUGGACCAAGAGUCUGAUCCAGCAAUUCUGUGUGCACGAUGAAGUUUUUCGGAAUGUAAAGUGCUUUCAGUUGGGAAGAAAAAAAUGACGGUACCAACAGAAGAAGUGACGGCUAAAUACGUGCCAGCAGCCGCGGUAAUACGUAUGUCACAAGCGUUAUCCGGAUUUAUUGGGCGUAAAGCGCGUCUAGGUGGUUAUGUAAGUCUGAUGUGAAAAUGCAGGGCUCAACUCUGUAUUGCGUUGGAAACUGUGUAACUAGAGUACUGGAGAGGUAAGCGGAACUACAAGUGUAGAGGUGAAAUUCGUAGAUAUUUGUAGGAAUGCCGAUGGGGAAGCCAGCUUACUGGACAGAUACUGACGCUGAAGCGCGAAAGCGUGGGUAGCAAACAGGAUUAGAAACCCUAGUAGUCC
rnacentral:rRNA from 1 species